GACAGAGGCCUCAAGCGUUAGGCGGAAUCACUGGGCUUAAAGCGUGUGUAGGCGGAUCGUUAAGUGCCUUGUGAAAUCCCACGGCUUAACUGUGGAACGGCUGGGCAUACUGGCGGUCUUGAGCCAUCUAGGGGCGACUGGAACAAACGGUGGAGCGGUGAAAUGCGUAGAUAUCAGGAGGAACACCGGUGGCGAAGGCGGGUCUCUGGGCAACAACUGACGCUGAGGAGCGAAAGCGUGGGGAGCGAACAGG
rnacentral:rRNA from 1 species